UAAUACGUAGGUGGCGAGCGUUGUUCGGAUUUAUUGGGCGUAAAGGGUCCGUAGGAGGUUGGGUAAAUUUGACGUGAAAUCCCAGAGCUCAACUCUGGAACUGCGUUGGAGACUGCCCGACUAGAGGAUUGGAGAGGUAAGCGGAAUACCAGGUGUAGCGGUGGAAUGCGUAGAUAUCUGGUAGAACACCAAAAGCGAAGGCAGCUUACUGGACAAUAACUGACUCUGAAGGACGAAAGCGUGGGGAGCAAACAGG
rnacentral:rRNA from 1 species